GCCCAGGUGGCGGAAUUGGUAGACGCGCUGCGUUCAGGUCGCAGUGGCCGCAAGGUCGUGGAAGUUCGAGUCUUCUCCUGGCACCA
rnacentral:tRNA from 1 species